CAGAGAUGGAGAGAAAUAGAGAAGCUAGAAGAGUAAGUAUGGCCGCUGCCAAUGGUUUAGCGUCCAGAAGACGACAUAGGAGCGGCAGCCUAAGAGAUUCUCCAGAGGAUGAUGGGCCGGUGGAGUUGCAGGAAUCGGCGAGGCUAAGAGAUCGAGUGACUGGGAAAAAGGAUCGAGAUCGAGAUCGGGAUAGAGAGCGAGACCGGGACCGUGACAGAGAGAGGGACAGGGACAGGGACAGAGAUCGGAUAAUCAACAGAGGCAAGAGAAGAAGAGGAGACAGGUUGAUNGAGCAAUAGAGAAGAUGGGGGCGAUGAGAGCUCAGAGGAGAGUGUAAAUGAUGAUGAAGACGAUGAAGAUGAUGAUGGAGGUGGCGUAGGUAGCUCCAUGAGGAUGCCCCCGNNNNNNNNNNNNNCCCUGUCUUCAUCUUCUAUGUCGAAUCAUCACCAUCGGAAAAGUUUCCCCCCGCCGGCCAAAGUUUUUAGAGCCGCGCCGGCGACGGCCUUGUGGAAGGCACCGGAUGAGAUGAUUGGGGUGUCGGUUCCUAGAAAAGCUCGGUCAGCCUCUACUAAGAGGUCCCAUGAAUGGGCUUCAAGUUGUGGAGUUGGUACUGAGCAAAUUCAUCGGCAAGCUUCCACAUCUCCGGUGAGAUCGAAUGGACCAAGCGUAGCAGCGAUGUUGGCCUCAGCGUCCGCGUCCCCAGCUCCAGUCUCGCCGUCUUCUUCUAAUGUUUCAGUUAAGAAGAAGAUGAAGCCUAAUGG
rnacentral:misc_RNA from 1 species